CACCAGCGCCUCGAGUGGGGAUCGCGAUUAUUGGGUCUAAAGCGUCCGUAGCAGGCUUUGUAAAUGCUUUGUGAAAUUGUCCGGCAUAACCGGACAGCGUGCAGAGUAGACUGCAGAACUUGAGACCGGGAGAGGUUAGCAGUAUUCCUUGGGUACCGGUAAAAUGGGUUAAUCCAAGGAGGACUACCAAUGGCGAAGGCAGCUGACCAGAACGGUUCUGACUGUGAGGGACGAAAGCUAGGGGAGCAAAACGG
rnacentral:rRNA from 1 species